UGAGGCAGGAGAAUUGCUUGAACCCAGGAGGUGGAGGCUGCAGUGAGCCGAGAUCGUGCCACUGCACUCCAGCCUGGGUGACAGAGUGAGACUCCGUCUC
rnacentral:miRNA from 1 species